GCUUAGUUGGUAAAGCACAAGGCUCUUAACCUUGUGGACGUGGAUUCAAGCACCAU
rnacentral:tRNA from 1 species